CCUACGGGUGGCAGCAGUCGAGAAUCAUUCACAAUGGGGGAAACCCUGAUGGUGCGACGCCGCGUGGGGGAAUGAAGGUCUUCGGAUUGUAAACCCCUGUCAUGUGGGAGCAAAUUAAAAAGAUAGUACCACACUAGGAAGAGACGGCUAACUCUGUGCCAGCAGCCGCGGUAAUACAGAGGUCUCAAGCGUUGUUCGGAAUCACUGGGCGUAAAGCGUGCGUAGGCUGUUUCGUAAGUCGUGUGUGAAAGGCGCGGGCUCAACCCGCGGACGGCACAUGAUACUGCGAGACUAGAGUAAUGGAGGGGGAACCGGAAUUCUCGGUGUAGCAGUGAAAUGCGUAGAUAUCGAGAGGAACACUCGUGGCGAAGGCGGGUUCCUGGACAUUAACUGACGCUGAGGCACGAAGGCCAGGGGAGCGAAAGGGAUUAGAUACCCCGGUAGUC
rnacentral:rRNA from 1 species